AGGUUCCGAAUUUUUAGAACGAGAUAACUGCUUCUCAUCAAAACGAAACAUAUUUAUAAGUCGGACCACUUGGUUCUGGAAACUUCCACAAAGCAGCAUAUCUGCCUCGUCAAAAACCUAGAAACCACCAAAAUAACUUACUAAGACUGAAUUUUGGAUUGUCACUUUCUCAACGAUCAAAUUUAGCAAUUCAAAAAAUGUUACCACAUAUUUAACACUACGUAUAAACUCUGAACGUCUUCGCCUUUCUGGAUCUAUAGAGUAGAGAUAAUUUAAAAGUGCUGCCGGCGUCGACACCAUUACAUCUGGUUCUUUUACAGGCCAGACCUGCAUUAAACUUCUCAUUUGUUAGAGACAUUACAAGUUUAUGAGGAAAAGCAGCAUAAACAUCCAUAGCAACAUCAUCAUGCAAAAAGAACUUUGAUCGACAGCAAGAAAGAAUGUGUGUUCUUGGGUAAAACAAGGAUUAACAAUGACAAUGAGAAUGCUCACCUGUCGACCACAAACAGCUGCAACCCCGAGAAGUGGUUUACCACUAUCAUUACAAAGACUAUUAGCCAUUCGAACCACUUGCUCGCAUAACAUAACAUUGGGGCAAAGAACAAGAGAAAGACGAUGGUGCUUCCUGACAUCCUGAUCAGCAAUAGCCCCUGAAUUAUCAGACAAUUGGCAUAGCUUAUCAAUCAACGGCACUAGGUAACCAUGAGUCUUGCCGCUACCAGUCUCUGCAGCAACCACCACAUCAGCACCUGAAAGUAUACUUGGAAUACAAGUCGCCUGAAUUUGAGAUUAUAUAUCAUUACUAUAGGAUUUAAGACUAUGACCUAUAAUUGAAGGAUAUACUCAGAUGAUAAACCAAAGUAACAUAUAUCAUUACUAUAAGAUUUAACACUGAAUAUAGCUGAAAAGAUAUACUCGGAUGAUAAACCAAAGUGACUUAUAUCAUGAUGAUAUAUGCUAUAAAUUCCACAUGGUGAAUAUUCUGCAAGAAGUUGAAAAUUUGCGUCACCAAGGGAGAAAAGUGGGGAAAGGGUAAGUGUUGACUCCAGGGAAAGGGGUUUGCGGUUGGGUUUACUAUAUCACAAAAAGAUAUUCAUGUGAUACUGACUUAUGCAAAGAGAUGAAAUGUGUCUCCAAGAAAAAAGAAAUGAAACUUUAUACUAGCAACGAAUUUGUAUCUUUAUAUGACACAAAUUUUGGAUCCCACAAGAAAGAAGGCAUACAGGGUAUUGUCUAGCAAUAUGAAUUGUGAUACAGUCAGAAGUCAAGUGUUAAAAUAUGCGUCAGCUUCAUCUAGCUCCUUGGCUUUUGCAGCUGAAUAGUUGAAUCAUUUAAAUGAGAUACUUGAUGUUUAUAGAGUUUAUACUUGAUUUUCCAUCAGCCAAACCAAUACAUUGACCUCUCUGUGAAACUUCCACGCAUACUACCAGGCCAACCACAUUUACCUCUACCCACAGAACGAUAAGUCUAGAGUGAUAGUGAAAAGAUAUUUGACACUCUAUGAGAAAAUAUUUGUUUCUAAUACUGAAAAUUAGUCAUAUCCACGUACUCCCAGGCAUUCCACCCAGCGAAAAAGCCAAUUCCACUCAUUCGGGUUUUCUAAAAUGACAGGUUGACAGUAGCACAUUGCCACGGGAUCGUUCCUCAUAAAAAGUUGUAUCUUCCCACGGAUUACCCUUAUUAGGCCGUGAGUUCUACUAAUUGAAUACAGUUAUACUUAAUCCAACUACGGUAGAUACUUUUGCAAGGAAAGAGAUAAGAAAAGCUGGCUGAACUUCGGUCUACCAAAUAAGCCAACUGAACAAAGCUAGUCCCGUAAGCUACCAAAUAAGCCAACUGAACAAAGCUAGUCCCGUAAGUGAAAAUACUUAUCAAAGAGACGUGUGUAAAAAUCUCAGGAUGACAGAAGAUAACUGAUUAGGUCUGCAUGUAUUAAUGCACAUGUAAUUCCACUUCCCUCUUAAUACAUAUGUUGCAAAGUCCACAAUUAACAUCAUAUUCAACCUUAAUACCCUGUUUGGUUCAGAUUAUGAUACUGCAUUUGAUUAUUUAUAUAAGUAAUUCGGAUUGUGAAAGUGAUUUUGAUCGUCAGUAUAAGUGAUUCUUAGAUAACUUGGUUAUUAUUACUCAUUCACUGAAACAACUGUUGGUUAUUUGCUAAAAGUUUAAUUUUUUUGGUGCACCAGUCCAACAAAAACUUCACCUAUUGUGAGCUUCCAAAAGCAGACCUGGUUCAAGCUUAGAUAAAGGAGAAGUGUUGCAAUCGGUUGAUGGGUCAUAAUAGUCUAACAAUAACAAUCCUUUGAAUACUUCGACCUGAAUAGAGCAAAUUGUUUAUCGCCACCGGGGCUUUAGUCUACUGAUAAGAACCACUGCGUGAUGUGUGGAUUAGGCACACAUUACGGGUUUGAAUCCUACUACAGACAAAAGCAUCGUACUUAAGUAGAGAAUGGCAGAGGGGUGGCUCCAUUAUCCACCAAGUUUCGAACCGUUUGCCACUAGCCCUUAAGUAUUUCUCGGUUAUUCAAAAAGUUACUUAUAAGGCCCCACUUAAUAAAAAAUAGGCACUUACCAUAGGAAAUGAUUUUGUCCAAAAAAUGAUGGAAUAAUGUAAGAAAAUUCAAACCAAACAGAACUUAAGAACAGAGUAGUACAUAGUCCGUAUGCAACAUAUUAGAUAGUAUCACCAUAACACAGUUUAAGGAAUUCAUAUUUAAUCAAAGAAACAAAAAAAGAUUCAACUUUUAGUCAUAAUUUUCCUAUAGAGAGCAAAGUUUGACCAGGAAAAGAAUAGAAUACCUGAUUUAAAGAGGUAUUAGACACUUAUCAUAAGUUAGAAAAUUCAUACUUAACAAAAGAAUUCAACUUUCAGUAAUAAUUCACCUAUAUUAGGCAAAAUUUAAGAGCAAAAAAAUGGAAAACCUGAAUUAAAGAGGGUCUAUGAAGGCCAAUACUGGAUAGAGCACGACAUAAUGAAUCUGAAACACCCAAAGAGGUCCAAGAAACACUUUCUUCAGCAAAAAAAGUCUCAUUUUGAUUCGUAUCAGCAACUUUGGCUGCUGAAACAGCAGACCCAAAUGCUCUGAUUCGACAACACUGUGGUUGGCAAGUAUAAGUAGCAGCAGAGGGUCGGAACAAGAAGCGGUUUGGUGUAGAUGACAGCCUCCAUAGUUUACAGAUGGAAAUUGAGUGCUGUAAAAUCAUCAGCUUUUACUCCUUUUUGCUAAAAUGGAGUUAGGUUAUGGUUAAAGGUAGCAAUUUAGAGGAAUUGGGGUUGCUUUUGUGGGGGUUUUGAAGGGUUUAAGGUACACUAAUUAAUCCUGAGCAGCAGUGGGGAAGAUAAGAUUUGUAGAGGGUAAGGGUAGUCUCUCCCAUUUGGUGGAAUAUCAGGUCAGCCCUUGUAGUUUUUCAUAUUUCCAUUCGGACAAAAUUAGUAGGAGUACUAGGGCUCUUGAAAACCAAACCGAAGAAUGAGGUUANNNNNNNNNNNNNNNNNNNNNNNNNNNNNNNNNNNNNNNNNNNNNNNNNNNNNNNNNNNNNNNNNNNNNNNNNNNNNNNNNNNNNNNNNNNNNNNNNNNNNNNNNNNNNNNNNNAAUUAAAGGAGGGUCUAUAGAAGGCCCCCAAUACCUGGAUAGAGCACGACAUAAUGAAUCUGAAACCACCCCCAAAGAGGUCCCAAGAAACACUUUCUUCAGCAAAAAAAGUCUCAUUUUGAUUCGUAUCAGCAACUUUGGCUGCUGAAACAGCAGACCCAAAUGCUCUGAUUCGACAACACUGUGGUUGGCCAAGUAUAAGUAGCAGCAGAGGGUCGGAACAAGAAGCGGUUGGUGUAGAUGACCAGCCCUCCCAUAGUUUACCAGAUGGAAAUUUGAGUGCUGUAAAAUCAUCAGCUUUUACUCCUUUUGCUAAAAUGGAGUAGGUUAUGGUUAAAGGUAGCAAUUUAGAGGAAUUGGGGUUGCUUUUGUGGGGGUUUUGAAGGGUUUAAGGUACACUAAUUAAUCCUGAGCAGCAGUGGGGAAGAUAAGAUUUGUAGAGGGUAAGGGUAGUCUCUCCCAUUUGGUGGAAUAUCAGGUCAGCCCUUGUAGUUUUUCAUAUUUCCAUUCGGACAAAAUUAGUAGGAGUACUAGGGCUCUUGAAAACCAAACCGAAGAAUGAGGGUUAGGGAAAGCCACAAAACACCCAAUAUGACUUAGCUCUUUAUUCACAUUCCCAAGUCUCAUAUUUGAC
rnacentral:lncRNA from 1 species